AGGCCAUGGGUUAAAAACCUUAUAAGAGUUAUAAUAGUAGAAAGGCAAUGUGGAUUAAUGGAUAGAGAGUCAAGCUUGGAGUCUAAAUGAUCUAUACUUCCCUGUAUGACACAUGAAUAAGUCACUUAAGGUCUUAUUUAGUAUUCCAAGCAAUAAUUAUUACAAGGGAAUUGAUAAUUAGUUGGGGGGAAAAUUCCGAUUGAGCUAUGAAAUCAUAGAUGUGAUGAAAAAAAUAUUCACUAUGGUAAUGGCAUUGUAUGUUGGUCCAAAGAAAAAAUGUUUCAAGUGGGACAAUGGAAAAAAAAAUUGUUUCUGAAAUUAGAAGACAUGGGUCCAAGGAUUCUGGUUGUCAUUUACUACCUGUGUGGCCUUAGAUGUGGACAACUGCUUUUGUCAAGGAAAUCACUCUUUUGGUACACUAAAACAAGCCACUGUCAACUUUAUUUUCCUUAGUUCCUGAAUAUGAAGAGAAAGUCUGGAUAUGAAAUAAAUGGAGGUCCAGUAGUUCAGACUUCAUGGUGGGAAAAUGAGUGAGUGUUAGGAUAAGAAUCAUUGAAGUCCAGUGGCAAGACAGAGUCAAGACAACCAGUGAUGGCUCCGAAUGCAAUGGAUAGGGGCAGCUAGGUCACACAGUGGAUGAAACACCUGCCCUGGAUUCAGGAGUACCUGAGUUCAAAUCCGGCCUCAGACACUGGACACUUACUAGCUGUGUGACCCUGGGCAAGUCACUUAACCCCCAUUGCCCUGCAAAAAAAAAAGAAUGCAACGGAUAACCUUGACAUCUCUGGUGUCUAGCUAAGCUCCAUGGCCUAUUGGAACAAAUUAUUUACAUCUGCCUAUUCUCCAGGGAACAUCUUCAUAUACUUGGGGAAGACAACCCCUAACUCACUGAAGGGUUUGAGGCCUGUCAAUUACCUUCAACCUGAUAUAGCCUGUCUGCCAAAACAAUUUCACCAGGCUGUGGUUACUGCCCAUGCUAUAGUUUCUUGGAGCCACAGGUGAGAGCAAUGUGGCAGGUAGACACCAAAAAUGGAAAGCAGUCCUGAAGAGGGUUCAGUAGCCCUCAUACCAAAGGUACUAGUUUUCUCUUCACACCUCCUACACCCUUCCCUCAAACAGAUAAAGAUAAAGGAGUAAUAGAUCUCCAAGGCCUGAGAGUAUAUUAUAAGUAGUUAUCAAAACUAUUUAGUAUUAAUUAAAAAUAACAUUAAAAAUAAACAGUUAGAUUAAGUGAUUAGUGUUGACAAGGGAGAAUACAAAAAGGAAUUGAAUAAUCCAGUGUUCAAUAAAUUAGGAAAAAUUACUUAGGAAAGAACUCUCCAUUUGAUAGAAAUUUCUGGAAAAAUUAGAAAGCCGUCUGUUAGAAAUUAUUUUUCGACAAACAUCUUGUGUCAUAUUCCACAAUGAAUUCAAAACAGGUAUAAAACCUCAAUAUUAAAGAUUAUACCUUUGAAAAAAGAAUGACAAAAAUAGGAGAAGCAGACAAUAUACCUUUUGUUUCUAUGAAUAAGAAAUGAAUUCUUAACCAACAAGUGAUAGAAGCAAUUACAAAAUAUAAAAUAGUCUUGAUUACAUGAAAUAAAAAAUGUGAAACAAAAUUAAUGUACCCUGGAUAAAAAGGAAGGGGACAAAUAGGGGGAGGAAUCCACAGAAUUUAUCAGAUAAGUGUUUAGUAUUCAUGAGAUCUAAAAAUGAUCAUAUAUGUGGGUGUGAAUGUAUAGACAGAUAUAUAAUAGAUAGAGAUAAAGAGAUAGACAGACAGACAGAUAGAACCAAAAACCAUUCCUCAAUAUUUACAUUCAAAGGAUUAUAUGCAGCUUUAAAAAGAAAUCCAAAGUAUUAACAACCAUAUGAAAGAAUGAAUGAAAUAACUAAUAAUAAGAAAUACAAAUCAAAAUAUUCAUGAGGUUUCACCUUGCAAAUGAGCAUAAAUGACAAAAAGUGGGAAUAGCCAAUGUCGAUGGAGUUAUGGGAAGAUAAACACACUAGUGCAUUGUUGGUGGAGCUGUGAAUCAAACAUUUUGGAAAACAAUUUGGAGUUAUGCAAACAUAAUAACGUGCACACCUUUUGGCCCAGUAAUUCCACUACUAGGCUUAUACCCUAAAGAGAUCAUUGAUAAGAAGGAAACCCCUACAUACUACAAAAAUAUUUAUAACAUCAUUUUUUCUGGUAGUAAAAAACUGAAAACACAAUAGAUGCUUAUUGAACUAAACAAACUGUAGUACAUGAAUAUAAUGGAAUAUUACUUCGCAAGAAACAGAUAUGGUAAAUACAGAAAAACAGGGGAGAGUUAAAUGAUCUUAUACAUAGUGACUUAUGAAAGACAAGAAAACAACGUAAACAGUGAUUACAACAAAGUAAAUGGAGGGGAAUCACAAAAUGAUCAUAAAUGAAUAUUGCAAAAUUACAAAGAACAAGCAUGACUCCAAUGAAGAAAUCUGAAAGGACAUUCCCAUCCUACUCCUUUGUGAAGGUGGGAAGUUAUGAUGCAUUAUAUCCUUAUUUAACAUUAAUAUAUAUUUGAUGUAUCUCAAGAUUAUUUUCAGGGGCCUGAAAAUAUUUACACGUGGAGAGACAUAUAUAGGAAUGAGUUAAAAUGGCAUGCUGAGAACAGAAAUAUGUUAGGCUAUCAUGCCUCAUAAACCUUAAUACAAAAAGAAGAAUUUUGAAUAAUGGGCAUAUUAAUUAAGAAUCUUAUACUGAGAAACUUCUUUGAAAUAUGUAUCCAGAUUAAAGAAAUGGGAUCCCUUUCUCUAAAAGUGUAAUGAAUUCUCUUGUAGAUGAGAUUGUCUUUCCUAAUUUGUAUCUAUUUCUACAAUUACAGAAUCAAAACUCUCACAAGUA